ACACCUCAACUCUCAUGGUCCGCCAUGACGAGCUUGGACUUUGGGGGUCUUGCCGGCCUAGCGUCGGCUCCUCUCAAACGGAUCAGCUCGCCAGUGUUUGGUGGGGUCACGGGUGUGAUAACUAUCUACGCUUGUGGUCUUCCGCCAUGCAACCUUCAGCGAUGGAGGUUCACUGGAGCUCACAGAUGUCUUUCCCUUGCGAGGACAGCUUUUGAAC
rnacentral:misc_RNA from 1 species